AACGCGAAGAACCUUACCAGGGACAUAAAGACAUGCUAGCGACAGGUGCGGAAACGUACCCUCCUUCGGGCGCUAGCACAGGUGCUGCAUGGCUGUCGUCAGCUCGUGUCGUGAGAUGUUGGGUUAAGUCCCGCAACGAGCGCAACCCUCGUGGUUAGUUGUACACUCUAGCCAGACUGCCCGUACAAGCGGGAGGAAGGUGGGGAUGACGUCAAGUCAGCAUGGCCCUUACGUCCUGGGCUACACACACGCUACAAUGGUCGGUACAAUGGGCAGCGACCCCGCGAGGGCAAGCGAAUCCUCAAAGCCGACCUCAGUUCAGAUUGCAAGGCUGCAACUCGCCUGCAAGAAGUCGGAGUUGCUAGUAAACGCGCGUCAGCAUAGUGCGUUGAAUACGUUCCGGGGUCUUGUACACACCG
rnacentral:rRNA from 1 species